rnacentral:rRNA from 1 species
UACGUAGGUGGCAAGCGUUGUCCGGAAUUAUUGGGCGUAAAGCGCGCGCAGGUGGUUCCUUAAGUCUGAUGUGAAAGCCCACGGCUCAACCGUGGAGGGUCAUUGGAAACUGGGGAACUUGAGUACAGAAGAGGAAAGCGGAAUUCCACGUGUAGCGGUGAAAUGCGUAGAGAUGUGGAGGAACACCAGUGGCGAAGGCGGCUUUCUGGUCUGUAACUGACGCUGAGGCGCGAAAGCGUGGGGAGCAAACAGG